CACGUGGGUGACCUGCCCUCCACUUCGGGAUAAGCCUGGGAAACCGGGUCUAAUACCGGAUAGGACCUCUGGAUGCAUGUCUGGCGGUGGAAAGUUUUUCGGUGGGGGAUGGGCCCGCGGUCUAUCAGCUUGUUGGUGGGGUGAUGGCCUACCAAGGCGACGACGGAUAGCCGGCCUGAGAGGGUGAUCGGCCACACUGGGACUGAGACACGGCCCAGACUCCUACGGGAGGCAGCAGUGGGGAAUCUUGCGCAAUGGGCGGAAGCCUGACGCAGCAACGCCGCGUGGGGGAUGACGGCC
rnacentral:rRNA from 1 species